UUCAUGAACGCUUUGGUCUUUGUUGCAUAGCUUGUUUGAAUCUGCAUUUCCAUAGUCUUAAAGAAAUGGAUACAGCAAGUUUGGCACUUUUAUCAAGAGUUUAGGAAAACUUGUAGAGGUAAAGCCCUGAAAUGGAUUUUUUGGCAAAACAAAUGAGGAAAAAUUGAAUACGAACUCCAAAUGAAAAAUACGGAAAGUUUGCUGAAACAAAUGGCGCUGGAGGUAACUCACGUAGGUGUAUUCUAUAUAAAACUGUCCUCCGCCAAGAUCGCGACCAUUGCUUAAGAGGUUUUAAGAACUCCAAGGUGAGGAGAGGCGGAAUUUUAUUGCUUACGCUUUUUGGAAUCUUCACUAGUUGUCAAGGCCCAGAUCUUCAUGGAUGUUAAGUUAAAAGUAUAAUGUUAAUAAAUCU